rnacentral:piRNA from 1 species
UCUCUAUAGAGGAAUCUCAGGCUGUCGC